GAUGAAGAACGUAGCGAAAUGCGAUACGUAAUGUGAAUUGCAGAAUUCAGUGAAUCAUCGAAUCUUUGAACGCAUAUUGCGCUCUUUGGUAUUCCGAAGAGCAUGCUUGUUUGAGUAUCAGUAAACACCUCAAAGCUUUUGGAUUUUUUAAUCGAAAAGCUUUGGACUUGAGCAAUCCCAACACCAAUCUUUUUGAGAUCGGUGGCGGGUUGCUUGAAAUGCAGGUGCAGCUGGCCAUUCUCCUGAGCUAAAAGCAUAUUCAUUUAGUCCCGUCAAACGGAUUAUUACUUUUGCUGCAGCUAACAUAAAGGGAGUUUGACCGUAUUGGCUGACUGAUGCAGGAUUUCACAAGGGUCGGCAACGAUUCUUGUUAAACUCGAUCUCAAAUCAAGUAAGACUACCCGCUGAACUUAAGCAUAUCAAUAAGCGGAGGA
rnacentral:misc_RNA from 1 species